AUCUUUUUUUCUAUUUAAGCAACUAAUUUAAAUUCCGAAGAAUUAUAUGUUGAGAAUUUGUAUGUUAGUCAGAUGAAAAGACGCAUCCUAGAAACAGGUCCUACCGAUCUAACAGAAAAGAAAAAGAUUGAGAGAGAUCUAGAAAGCCUCAAGAAAGAAAGAGCCAAAUUAAAAAAGAAUGUGUGCAAUUCAGUUGUAGAAAGUGAUGUCAAUUUUGAAAAUGAGCCUUUUAAUCGUAUUUUGAAAAGUGCUAAAAAAAAGCGCAUUAUUAAUAGCCUUGAAAAACUAAGACAUUAUUCCAGUGAACGACAGUAUUUGUCUUCAUUGAUGAAAAAGU